GGGUGCGAUCAUAAAAGUGUUAAUGCACCGGAUCCCAUCAGAACUCCGCAAUUAGGCGCGCUUGAUAUAGAGUGGUACUGGGAUGGGUGACCUUCUAGGAAGCCCUAGUGUUGCACCCU
rfam:Picea glauca, whole genome shotgun sequence.